GUGCUCGCUUUGGCAGCACGAAUACUAAGACUGGAACGAUACGCAGAAGAUUAGCAUGACCCCUGCACAAGCAUGACAUACAAAUUUGUGAAGUAUUCCAUAUUUGU
ensembl:snRNA U6 U6 spliceosomal RNA